rnacentral:tRNA from 1 species
GCGGGCAUAGCACAGUGGUAGUGCAGCGGCCUUCCAAGCCGCCUACACGGGUUCGAGCCCCGUUGCCCGCUCCA